rnacentral:rRNA from 1 species
GCGAAAGCCUGAUCCAGCAAUGCCGCGUGCAGGAUGAAGGCCUUCGGGUUGUAAACUGCUUUUGUACGAACGAAAAAGCUUCUCCUAAUACGAGAGGCCCAUGACGGUACCGUAAGAAUAAGCACCGGCUAACUACGUGCCAGCAGCCGCGGAAUACGUAGGGUGCGAGCGUUAAUCGGAAUUACUGGGCGUAAAGCGUGCGCAGGCGGUUAUGUAAGACAGAUGUGAAAUCCCCGGGCUCAACCUGGGAACUGCAUUUGUGACUGCAUGGCUAGAGUACGGUAGAGGGGGAUGGAAUUCCGCGUGUAGCAGUGAAAUGCGUAGAUAUGCGAGGAACACCGAUGGCGAAGGCAAUCCCCUGGACCUGUACUGACGCUCAUGCACGAAAAGCGUGGGGAGCAAACAGGAUUAGAUACCCUGGUAGUCCACGCCCUAAACGAUGUCAACUGGUUGUUGGGAAUUAGUUUUCUCAGUA